ensembl:lncRNA
GUUCUCUCCAGGUCAAAGCAGUAGAAACAUGCUAAGGCAUCCCCUGGAUAAACCACCAGGGAUGCCUGGGAAUAAAACUGCGAGUAAAUCCUGACCCUAUUAUCUUGUCUAUCUUCCUUCUCCUCAGGCUCCAACCCUAUGUCUUUAUCAGAAAAUGUCUUCUUUAUGAAAUUAUGCAUAAAUUAGCCCCCGGGCCCACCCAAAGGCUGUUCACGAUCCGACUUCCGAGGUCCGGCACCUAUAAUUCCCUUUUUGCUUUCUUUAGCUGGCCUCUCUCAUUGCUAGCCACCCAACAGGAUAAAACGAGUCUCUGAGAAGAAGACGCAAAGAUGAAAAAAAUGCCAGGCAAAAAUGAUUUUAUUUUAAAUGUUUUCGGAAAGGCGGUUCGCGUCUUUUCAGAUUCCCUGAACUGAUCAUCUCCAAGGUAUCACUCAAGUUAAAGAGAUGGGACUUUUUUUCUCCCCCGCCCUUCUCCACGCAUCAGUGGAACAGGAGGGAGGAGACGGAGGAGAGAAGAGGCAGGGAGGCGAAAAAGUGACAGAAGCAAGAGAGAAAGGGAGAGGGAUGUGGAAGGAAGGAAGCCAGGAAGGCAAGAGCAGAGGGGUGCUCGGCGUGCUGGAGAGCCUCCGAGGUCCGCCCGCCCGCAGGCGCCGGGACCCGCAAGGGCGGCGCAAGACUUCCCCGGCGCGCAGUCGGCGGCGCGGCCCCGGGAGCAGGCGGCACGCACCGCUGUCCUCCCGCUCCGCGGGGUCGCCCUGCCCUCCCGCGCCCCGGGGCUGGGGGCGCCACCUUGCCGGCGGCGACUGCGGCAGGGAACGCCGGGGGAGGAGUUUAGAGGAGAAUGAAUUGGACUGUGAGCCUUUCAUGAACUUCUCAAAAGAGCAGGAACAUGAGGCAAAAUGGUGAGGAAAACCCACAAUUCAAACUACCACAACGUGGGAAAGUUCUUAGAAUGACUGGAUCAAAAUCAUUGCCGUAUUGUCUCCAUGCGGUCACCAAUCUGUCAGCGGUGUGUAAGCGUGCAUGCUUUUUAACACGUCACCAAUCUAUGUCAGCGGUGUGUAAGCGUGCAUGCUUUUUAACACAUGGUCACCAACCUACGUCAGCGGUGUGUAAGCGUGCAUGCUUUUUAACACGUCACCAAUCUACGUCAGCGGUGUGUAAGCGUGCAUGCUUUUUAACACGUCACCAACCUACGUCAGCGGUGUGUAAGCGUGCAUGCUUUUUAACACGUCACCAAUCUACGUCAGCGGUGUGUAAGCGUGCAUGCUUUUUAACACGUCACCAAUCUACAUCAGCGGUGUGUAAGCGUGCAUGCUUUUUAACACGUGGUCACCAAUCUAUGUCAGAGGUGUGUAAGCGUGCAUGCUUUUUAACACGUGGUCACCAAUCUACGUCAGCGGUGUGUAAGCGUGCAUGCUUUUUAACACGUGGUCACCAAUCUACGUCAGCGGUGUGUAAGCGUGCAUGCUUUUUAACACGUGGUCACCAAUCUACGUCAGCGGUGUGUAAGCGUGCAUGCUUUUUAACACGUGGUCACCAAUCUACGUCAGCGGUGUGUAAGCGUGCAUGCUUUUUAACACGUCACCAAUCUACGUCAGCGGUGUGUAAGCGUGCAUGCUUUUUAACACGUCACCAACCUACGUCAGCGGUGUGUAAGCGUGCAUGCUUUUUAACACGUCACCAAUCUACGUCAGCGGUGUGUAAGCGUGCAUGCUUUUUAACACGUCACCAAUCUACGUCAGCGGUGUGUAAGCGUGCAUGCUUUUUAACACGUGUUCACCAAUCUACGUCAGCGGUGUGUAAGCGUGCAUGCUUUUUAACACGUGGUCACCAACCUACGUCAGCGGUGUGUAAGCGUGCAUGCUUUUUAACACGUGUUCACCAAUCUACAUCAGCGGUGUGUAAGCGUGCAUGCUUUUUAACACGUGGUCACCAAUCUACGUCAGCGGUGUGUAAGCAUGCAUGCUUUUUAACACGUGUUCACCAAUCUAUGUCAGCGGUGUGUAAGCGUGCAUGCUUUUUAACACGUGGUCACCAAUCUAUGUCAGCAGUGUGUAAGCGUGCAUGCUUUUUAACACGUGGUCACCAAUCUAUGUCAGCGGUGUGUAAGCGUGCAUGCUUUUUAACACGUCACCAAUCUACGUCAGCGGUGUGUAAGCGUGCAUGCUUUUUAACACAUGGUGUUAUUCAUUUAUUAAAAGUUUUUGAGUGACUAGCAGGAACCAAAUUUUGUUCUAAGCCCAGGGAUUAAAGUCUCCGCCCUUCUA